GAGAGGGUGAUCGGCCACACUAGGACUGAGACACGGCCCAGACUCCUACGGGAGGCAGCAGUAGGGAAUCUUCCACAAUGGACGAAAGUCUGAUGGAGCAACGCCGCGUGAGUGAUGAAGGUUUUCGGAUCGUAAAACUCUGUUGUAAGGGAAGAAUAGGCGUGAGAGGUAAUGCUCAUGCUAUGACGGUACCUUACGAGAAAGCCACGGCUAACUACGUGCCAGCAGCCGCGGUAAUACGUAGGUGGCAAGCGUUGUCCGGAAUUAUUGGGCGUAAAGCGCGCGCAGGCGGCCUUUUAAGUCUGAUGUGAAAGCCCCCGGCUCAACCGGGGAGGGUCAUUGGAAACUGGAAGGCUUGAGUACAGAAGAGAAGAGUGGAAUUCCAUGUGUAGCGGUGAAAUGCGUAGAGAUGUGGAGGAACACCAGUGGCGAAGGCGACUCUUUGGUCUGUAACUGACGCUGAGGCGCGAAAGCGUGGGGAGUAAACAGGAUUAGAUACCCUGGUAGUCCACGCCGUAAACGAUGAGUGCUAGGUGUUGGGGGGUUUCCGCCCCUCAGUGCUGAAGCUAGCGCAUUAAGCACUCCGCCUGGGGAGUACGGCCGCAAGGCUGAAACUCAAAGGAAUUGACGGG
rnacentral:rRNA from 1 species